rnacentral:rRNA from 1 species
UACGUAGGGGCCUAGCGUUGUCCGGAUUUACUGGGCGUAAAGGGCGCGUAGGCGGCGCAACAAGUCACUUGUGAAAUCUCCGGGCUUAACCCGGAGCGGCCAAGUGAUACUGUCGUGCUAGAGUGCGGAAGGGGCUACUGGAAUUCUCGGUGUAGCGGUGAAAUGCGUAGAUAUCAGGAGGAACACCUGCGGUGUAGACGGCUUUCUGGACCAUUGUUGACGCUGAGACACGAAAGCGUGGGUAGCAAACAGG